rnacentral:SRP_RNA from 1 species
UGCUAGACUCGGCCGGGGUGUUCGGCGUACCCUUAUACACCAAAACCGUCGUUAGUGGGGGCGACACUCGGAGGCGGCGUAACCAGCUCGCAAUCGAGCCAAAUGCUGUCAAUGAGAUUUCGUCCCUCGGGGUCGGAGGUGGCAACGAUACGCGAUCGGAGGAUCGCCUGUCCUGUCUUGAUCAUGGAAACCGGGCGAGGACCGGAAGGGAGCAGCCUCACCAUGGACUACCGACGCUCGUGGGGUUGCGGGAUCGAGAAGGUGUUUGGGCCACUCGAUUUCGGGUCUGAGCGCUCACUCCGGGGUGUCUAGUA